GAUGAACGCUGGCGGCGUGCCUAAUACAUGCAAGUCGAGCGAACAGACGAGGAGCUUGCUCCUCUGACGUUAGCGGCGGACGGGUGAGUAACACGUGGAUAACCUACCUAUAAGACUGGGAUAACUUCGGGAAACCGGAGCUAAUACCGGAUAAUAUAUUGAACCGCAUGGUUCAAUAGUGAAAGACGGUUUUGCUGUCACUUAUCGAUGGAUCCGCGCCGCAUUAGCUAGUUGGUAAGGUAACGGCUUACCAAGGCAACGAUGCGUAGCCGACCUGAGAGGGUGAUCGGCCACACUGGAACUGAGACACGGUACAGACUCCUACGGGAGGCAGCAGUAGGGAAUCUUCCGCAAUGGGCGAAAGCCUGACGGAGCAACGCCGCGUGAGUGAUGAAGGUCUUCGGAUCGUAAAACUCUGUUAUUAGGGAAGAACAAAUGUGUAAGUAACUAUGCACGUCUUGACGGUACCUAAUCAGAAAGCCACGGCUAACUACGUG
rnacentral:rRNA from 1 species